CAGGGCUAGGGGGGAGGGGGAGAAUAGAGGGUAGAAGCUCCUGAUGAGAAAUGUUACCAUAUCUGCCUCACCCCGACUCCACCAGCAGGCCAAAAACAAAACAAAAACUCCUCUUCCAUUUCCUCUCCUCUUCUGGAGAACUGCCUCCCCAGCCUCUUCCAAGUUGCUAAGGAGGGAACUUCAACAUGCUAACUUUUCUCUUUUCUUCCCCAGCUCUGAGGCUCUCAAGAAAGCCUAGGGCACAGAUAAGAGAAGUCAGGAAGGGAAAAGCCCACACAGAAGGAGGUCUUUCUAGCCACCUCCCUCAGAUCACAUGAGUAAGACUGUUCCCUCUGAUCCCCAACUCCUCACCCUACCCCAUAUUCCCAAAUAAUUCAGCCCCUAUUUCUAGGGAGCUUUCUUUGAGAGCUAACCCAGUCCCUUCUGCUGAAGUCUGUUUGGAAAGCGAACAAAGUGGCCGCAGCCCCUAAAUAACUUCCGGUCACCUUUUAAACCCUGCCCAGGAGCAAGCAGUAAGCCUGUCAGCAAGUCAGUCUGCAUUUAGGGAGGGGUGGGGCUCAGCAGGGGCUCAGCUGGAGGAGACUUCUGUUUCCCCUGAAUCUUACCAUGUUCAGCUAUAGAGCUAUACCUACAACACCUCCAAAUGUAGCUCAAAUAGAAAGAGGGGCCAUUAGUGUGACCUCAAUUCCUUGACUGAUCCAAAGGGGAGCGGCUCUCUGUUUGUGCCUCCAUCAUAGUCCCCUCAAGGCCAGAUGCACCUCUAGAUUCAGAAAGUGAAACGAAAUCCUAGAACCUCAGCUCAUUCCCUCUAUCCAAGGUGGAACACCCCCUCUCCAUCAGAGGGAACCCAGGACCUAGAUGUCCUUAGCCUCAAGUCCUGCUGGCACAGAAGAGGUAGGCGGGGCCACAGCUUAUGCUGGGUCUCUGAUUCCUCUGGGGCUACCCAGGCCGGACACCGGGCCAGUCCCUCUCUCCAAACAGAGGCCAGACGGGGGCAGCCGGGAAGGGCGAGGGUCUCUGGGGGCAUCAACUGAGUCAGCCCCACCCCAUCCCCCAUGACCUCCUGCAAGAUCCAGAGCCAAUCCCCACGUCCCCCUCUCGCCGGAGCCCCCAGAGCCCCACCACUGGGUGGGGGUGCAUGUCGGCCGAUCGCGGUCCCCAGAACCCCCAAAUGGAGGCCAAGGCAGAAGGGUGAUAGGAAGAGAAUCGCCCAGGCGUGAAGGGGGUCCCCGGCGCCGCGCGCGGAUUGUUACCUUCUGUGACCCCCACAACCUGCUCCCAGAUGGGUGUUGGACCCUGCUGUACUCUUCCUGCUCUCCAGACAGAAGACAUCUUUCCCAGGAAGCCUGGGGAAACACCCAGUUCCUUCUUUUAGCUCCUGCC